CUCAUCACUAACUGAGCUGACCCAUGAUUUCUAGCUUCCCAGGUCCCUGCUAGGAGAGUCAUGCCUGUCUCUCUUCUGAUGCUGUGCUGCAGAAUGCAUUCACUUAGAAGAUGGAUGCGUUUGAAUCGACUUCGCUCACCACCCUGCCCAGGAAGCCGGCAGAACAGUUAACUGCGCUUCUGUGAGACUCUCUCGCCUGUGAACGGCUUUUCCCGGUACCGAAGGCCUAAAAAGAGGAGGCAGCCAAUCGAGCCACGGAUGGGAGUGUGACAGUGGAGGCCACCCCAGCAGUCAGGGUGCAGAACACACAGCAUCCGUACCCUUGGCUCCCGCACAGAUCUACUGAAUGAGGGAAGAGGAUGAGACAGAACCUACUAUUUGCAGCUGGGCUAAUCAGCCCAAUGGCAUCUAGCCUGCAGGUACUCAGCCCUCGCAACAUGGCGGAUCCAACUGAAAUGUGCUGGAAGUAAGAAACAUACCAGAGCCCAAAAUCCUCAUAGCAAGAGAACAUUGUGGCAAAGCUGAUCGCUGUAUACAUAUUGAAAUGAGAAUUAUUUGGACGAACUCCAUUCAAUAAAACACAU